ACCUUGUAUCAUGUGGUGACACACUGUUUGCUGAACUGUAGGUGGUUGGGAAAUUGUGGUCUGUCUAUUGGAUUAAUUUCUCCCUGAAACUGGAGUGUCUCCCAAAGUACCACCUCCCCUUCAAUAGAUUAUCCUCCAUAAAGCUCUAGACCCUCCUUAUUUUUCUUGCCCUGGAAUUCCUCAGAUCUAGCCACACCGUGUCCCAAAAUGUAAUAAGUGUGUGUGGAACGGAGACACGGUCAUGGCAGGCAGUCAUACUCAGAGGCUCUGCAAUCCCCCGGGAGGCUACAGAGCUGGGUUCAAACCAUGGCACAGGGGCCACAUCAGGACACGUCCCCACACCCCUUCAAACACCACAGUUUACCGUCUGAUGUUUUAGAAAGGAUCAUCAAGGCAGAAGAGCUUUUUUCGAAAGCAUCAUUGGUUUUUCCAUGAAGGCCAAACUUCUUUUAGGUUAUGGACCCCUCCUGUAUUGCAGAACUGCUUCUCUCACGCCAACGCAAAAAUGACCAGUCCAGGAUUAAAGGAUUGAUUAUGUUGCUUUUGGAAGGAUGUUGGAGGACGGAACAGGCCCGAAGUGAGAUUGUCAAGUUUAUGUCCUUGACAGAUGAA